rnacentral:rRNA from 1 species
UGGGGAAUAUUGCACAAUGGGCGCAAGCCUGAUGCAGCCAUGCCGCGUGUGUGAAGAAGGCCUUCGGGUUGUAAAGCACUUUCAGCGAGGAGGAAGGGUUCAGUGUUAAUAGCACUGUUCAUUGACGUUACUCGCAGAAGAAGCACCGGCUAACUCCGUGCCAGCAGCCGCGGUAAUACGGAGGGUGCAAGCGUUAAUCGGAAUUACUGGGCGUAAAGCGCACGCAGGCGGUUUGUUAAGUCAGAUGUGAAAUCCCCGCGCUUAACGUGGAACUG